AACUUUUAACAAUGGAUCACUUGGCUCUCGCAUCGAUGAAGAACACAGCGAAAUGCGAUAAGUAAUGUGAAUUGCAGAAUCCAGUGAAUCAUCGAAUCUUUGAACGCAUCUUGCGCUCCUUGGCAUUCCGAGGAGCAUGCCUGUUUGAGUGUCAUUAAACUAUCAAAACACUUUUUCUCGAGGUGUUUUGGACUUUGGGAUCACUGUGCUGGUCUCUGUUUGAGCCAGCUCUCCUCAAAAGCAUUAACUUUGAGACCAUCAGUGUGAUAAUUUGUUUGCACUGGCUUCUCUUUUUUAACUGCCCCUUUGACCUCAAAUCAGGUAGGACUACCCGCUGAACUUAAGCAUAUCAAUAAGCGGAGGCU
rnacentral:misc_RNA from 1 species